rnacentral:lncRNA from 1 species
AUUUAUUUGAAGAUAAUUUGAUCAUUUUCAAAUGUGCAUUUUGGCUCCAUGUUGUGUGGAAAUACUUGCUAGUGAAAAACUGUAUUUUUGUCAUUUAUAAGCUUAAUUUUGGAUGAAUUGAAUACUUUUACACACCUGCAGUACAGUAAGUUGAAAGUUACAGUUAAUGCUUGUGUAUAUUCUGACAUAACUUUGUUGGGGGAAACAGAAAUCAUACAGAAAGCCCACAAAAAGGGGGGAUAGUUGUUUACUUAAAUAGAAUAUCUGAUGUUGACAGGAUUGUAUUAGAAUACUAGCAUAUAUAUACUUACAGUUCAAGAUGUUAUUUGAAAAAAAUAGAUAUGAUUAUUUUAAUCUAUUAUUUUGUUAAAAAAACAAAUCUAAUCAUAUUCGAGAGUUGAAAAAAGGGGGAGGG